rnacentral:rRNA from 1 species
UACGGGGGGGCAAGCGUUGUUCGGAAUUACUGGGCGUAAAGGGCUCGUAGGCGGCCAACUAAGUCAGACGUGAAAUCCCUCGGCUUAACCGGGGAACUGCGUCUGAUACUGGAUGGCUUGAGGUUGGGAGAGGGAUGCGGAAUUCCAGGUGUAGCGGUGGAAAUGCGUAGAUAAUCUGGAGGAACACCGGUGGCGAAGGCGGCAUCCUGGACCAAUUCUGACGCUGAGGAGCGAAAGCUAGGGGAGCAA